GAGGAAUAUUGGUCAAUGGACGCAAGUCUGAACCAGCCAUGCCGCGUGCAGGAUGACGGCUCUAUGAGUUGUAAACUGCUUUUAUUCAGGAAGAAACCCUUCUACG
rnacentral:rRNA from 1 species